rnacentral:rRNA from 1 species
CCGGAAGGCGGGCAACCCAUAUACCUGGUCGGCGACCGGCGCACGGAAUGAGAAGAAAAGGCAUGUAACCUGCCCGCAACAGAGGGAUAACCCCUUCUAAAGUCGGACUAAUACCUCAUAAACAGGGGUUCCGCAUGGGGCUAUUUGUUAAAGAUUUAUUGGUUGCGGACGGCCAUGCGUACCAUUAGGUAGUUGGUGAGGUAACGGCUCACCAAGCCAUCGAUGGUUAGGGGUUCUGAGAGGAAGGUCCCCCACAC